rnacentral:rRNA from 1 species
GUGGGGAAUAUUGGGCAAUGGGCGAAAGCCUGACCCAGCAACGCCGCGUGAGGGAAGAAGGCCUUCGGGUUGUAAACCUCUGUCCUUGGUGACGAAAAAAAUGACGGUAGCCAAGGAGGAAGCCCCGGCUAACUACGUGCCAGCAGCCGCGGUAAUACGUAGGGGGCGAGCGUUGUCCGGAAUUACUGGGCGUAAAGGGUGCGUAGGUGGCCUUUUAAGUUGGAUGUGAAAUCCCCGGGCUUAACUUGGGUGGUGCAUCUAAUACUGGAGAGCUAGAGUGCAGGAGAGGGAAGGUGAAUUCCGAGGGUAGCGGUGAAAUGCGUGGAUAUUAGGAGGAACACCAGUGGCGAAGGCGGCUUUCUGGACUGUAACUGACACUGAGGCACGAAAGCGUGGGGAGCAAACAGGAUUAGAUACCCGGGUAGUCC